AUGCCAGCCAGCCUAGAAGGCAACCAGAGGUCGACACUGAGCUUUGCUGCUUCAGCGAUGGGAGCUGUGCUGAGCGCGGGACCCCACCUGCAUUUCUCCAGGCAUGGGAGAGGAGAAAAUCUACCAAAGGGACACAGAUGUUGGGGAACAUCUAUCCCAGAAACGACUCACAUUUAUUUUCCUCUGGGAGCCAAGGGCCUGGGGAAUUCAAGCAGUGCCCCUAAAUUACAAACAAGUAGGGGGCCCUUCUUCUGGGAACAUUUCCCGCAGCCUGAGCCGCACUAUAAAUCACUCUGCAUCUAUUGA
rnacentral:lncRNA from 1 species